AGUCGAGCGAUGAACACCUUCGGGUGUGAAUUAGCGGCGAACGGGUGAGGAACACGUGAAGAAUCUGCCUUCAACUCUGGGAUAACUCCGGGAAACCGGGGCUAAUACCGGAUAUGAGCCUCGAUCGCAUGAUUGGGGCUGGAAAGUUUUUCGGUUGAAGAUGACUUCGCGGCCUAUCAGCUUGUUGGUGAGGUAAUGGCUCACCAAGGCGACGACGGGUAGCCGGCCUGAGAGGGCGACCGGCCACACUGGGACUGAGACACGGCCCAGACUCCUACGGGAGGCAGCAGUGGGGAAUAUUGGGCAAUGGAGGAAACUCUGACCCAGCGACGCCGCGUGAGGGAUGAAGGCCUUCGGGUUGUAAACCUCUUUCAGUAGGGAAGAAGCGAAAGUGACGGUACCUACAGAAGAAGCACCGGCUAACUAUGUGCCAGCAGCCGCGGUAAUACAUAGGGUGCAAGCGUUGUCCGGAAUUAUUGGGCGUAAAGAGCUCGUAGGUGGUUCGAUACGUCGGAUGUGAAAAUCAGGGGCUCAACCCCUGACCUGCAUCCGAUACGGUCGAGCUAGAGUUUGGUAGGGGAGACUGGAAUUCCUGGUGUAGCGGUGGAAUGCGCAGAUAUCAGGAGGAACACCGAUGGCGAA
rnacentral:rRNA from 1 species